rnacentral:RNase_P_RNA from 1 species
UGAGAUCGCCAGACAGUCGCUGCCGUCUUCGGACGGGGGAGGAAAGUCCGGGCUCCAAAGGGCAGGGUGCCAGGUAACACCUGGGGGGCGUGAGCCUACGGCCAGUGCAGCAGAGAGUAGACCGCCUAAGCUAUCCUCGGAUAGCCGGUAAGGGUGAAAGGGUGCGGUAAGAGCGCACCGCGUGGGUGGCAACAUUCCACGGCAUGGUAAACCCCACCUGGAGCAAGACCAAAUAGGGAUCCAUUGGCGUGGCCCGCGCUGGAUCCGGGUAGGUUGCUUGAGGCCUGCGGCGACGCAGGUCCCAGAUGAAUGACUGUCCACGACAGAACCCGGCUUACGGCGAUCUCAACUU